rnacentral:rRNA from 1 species
UACGAAGGGGGCUAGCGUUGCUCGGAAUCACUGGGCGUAAAGGGCGCGCAGGCGGCCAGGCGUGUUAGGCGUGAAAGCCCGGGGCUCAACUCCGGAAUUGCCUUUAAGACUGCAUCGCUAGAAUUGUGGAGAGGUAAGUGGAAUUCCGGGUGUAGAGGUGAAAUUCGUAGAUAUUCGGAAGAACACCAGUGGCGAAGGCGACUUACUGGACACAUAUUGACGCUGAGGUGCGAAAGCGUGGGGAGCAAACAGG